GGUGAGAUGGCCGAGCGGUCUAAGGCGCUACGUUAAGGAAAUCACCCUUAAUCCAAUAUCCGUAGUCCGAAAGGGCGUGGGUUCGAAUCCCACUCUCAUCA